CGGAUGUAGCCAAGUGGAUCAAGGCAGG
rnacentral:tRNA from 4 species